GCCCGUGUGGCUCAGUGGAUAGAACGUCAGCUUGCAGACUGAAAGGUCCGAGGUUUGAUUCCCGGUCAAGGGCA
rnacentral:tRNA from 1 species